rnacentral:lncRNA from 1 species
GCUCCUCUGACCUUUAGGGUCUGCAGGAAGAGAGAGAGCGAGAGCACGCGCUGACCCCUUUUAUUGAGGAGAAGCUAUUCAAAUGAGGCAAGGGGUCAGGUUUCAGGGGGCUGAGUCUAUCUUCAUGAUGUCCACUGUCAGCAGGUUGACAGACACCUGGGUAGGCCACACCCAAGGCACAGUAAGAGAAGGGGACACUCACAAGGCACUUCCAUGGAAGAUUCUAUCUAAACAGGGCAAGGGGUUAUAUUACAAAGGAAC